rnacentral:ncRNA from 1 species
GUCUCAAAGAUUAAGCCAUGCAUGUCUAAGUAUAAGCAAUUAUACAGCGAAACUGCGAAUGGCUCAUUAAAUCAGUUAUCGUUUAUUUGAUAGUACCUUACUACUUGGAUAACCGUGGUAAUUCUAGAGCUAAUACAUGCUAAAAACCCCGACUCACGAAGGGGUGUAUUUAUUAGAUUAAAAACCAAUGCCCUUCGGGGCUCUUUGGUGAUUCAUAAUAACUUUUCGAAUCGCAUGGCCUUGCGCCGGCGAUGGUUCAUUCAAAUUUCUGCCCUAUCAACUUUCGAUGGCAGGGUCUUGGCCUGCCAUGGUUACAACGGGUAACGGAGGGUUAGGGCUCGACCCCGGAGAAGGAGCCUGAGAAACGGCUACUACAUCCAAGGAAGGCAGCAGGCGCGCAAAUUACCCAAUCCCGAUUCGGGGAGGUAGUGACAAUAA